UGGGGAAUAUUGGACAAUGGGGGGAACCCUGAUCCAGCAAUGCCGCGUGUGUGAAGAAGGCCUGAGGGUUGUAAAGCACUUUCAGUGGGGAGGAGGUUUGAUUGGUUAAGAGCUGAUUAAAUGGACGUUACCCACAGAAGAAGCACCGGCUAACUCCGUGCCAGCAGCCGCGGUAAUACGGAGGGUGCGAGCGUUAAUCGGAAUUACUGGGCGUAAAGGGUGCGUAGGUGGUUAAUUAAGUUAUCUGUGAAAUCCCUGGGCUUAACCUGGGCAGGUCAGAUAAGACUGAUUGACUCGAGUAUAGGAGAGGGUAGUGGAAUUUCCGGUGUAGCGGUGAAAUGCGUAGAGAUCGGAAGGAACAUCGGUGGCGAAGGCGGCUACCUGGCCUGAUACUGACACUGAGGCACGAAAGCGUGGGGAGCAAACAGGAUUAGAUACCCGUGUAGUCCCUGAGCGGGCUGGCAAGGCGCAU
rnacentral:rRNA from 1 species